rnacentral:pre_miRNA from 1 species
UAGAUACAUCCGUCCCAAAAUUCUUAUCUUAAAUUUGUCUAGAUACGGAAGUAUCUACUUGAUACAUUCGUAUUUAGACAAAUAUGAGAUAAGAAUUUUAGGACGGAGGGAGUAGCUU